UACAGAGGUCUCAAGCGUUGUUCGGAUUCAUUGGGCGUAAAGCGUGCGCAGGCGGUUUUGUAAGCCAGAUGUGAAAGCCCCGGGCUUAACCUGGGAAUGGCAUUUGGGACUGCAAGGCUGGAGUACGGCAGAGGGAGGUGGAAUUCCAGGUGUAGCAGUGAAAUGCGUAGAUAUCUGGAGGAACACCGAUGGCGAAGGCAGCCUCCUGGGCUAGUACUGACGCUCAUGCACGAAAGCGUGGGGAGCAAACAGG
rnacentral:rRNA from 1 species